AUUAGUUGCUACAUUCAGUUGGGGCACUCUAAUGAGACUGCCGGUGACAAACCGGAGGAAGGUGGGGAUGACGUCAAGUCCUCAUGGCCCUUAUAGGUGGGGCUACACACGUCAUACAAUGGAUGGUACAAAGGGUCGCCAACCCGCGAGGGGGAGCCAAUCCCAUAAAGCCAUUCGUAGUCCGGAUCGCAGUCUGCAACUCGACUGCGUGAAGUCGGAAUCGCUAGUAAUCGUGGAUCAGAAUGUCACGGUGAAUACGUUCCCGGGUCUU
rnacentral:rRNA from 1 species